rnacentral:rRNA from 1 species
UGCAGUCGAGCGGUAAGGCUCCUUCGGGAGUACACGAGCGGCGAACGGGUGAGUAACACGUGAGCAAUCUGCCCUUCACUUCGGGAUAACUCCGGGAAACCGAAGCUAAUACCGAAUACGACCACUUCAGGCAUCUGAUGGUGGUGGAAAGUUCCGGCGGUGAAGGAUGAGCUCGCGGCCUAUCAGCUUGUUGGUGGGGUAAUGGCCCACCAAGGCUUCGACGGGUAGCCGGCCUGAGAGGGUGACCGGCCACACUGGGACUGAGACACGGCCCAGACUCCUACGGGAGGCAGCAGUGGGGAAUAUUGGACAAUGGGCGAAAGCCUGAUCCAGCAACGCCGCGUGAGGGAUGACGGCCUUCGGGUUGUAAACCUCUUUCAGUAGGGACGAAGCGCAAGUGACGGUACCUACAGAAGAAGCACCGGCCAACUACGUGCCAGCAGCCGCGGUAAUACGUAGGGUGCGAGCGUUGUCCGGAAUUAUUGGGCGUAAAGGGCUCGUANGCGGUCUGUUGCGUCNGGAGUGAAAACUCANGGCUUAACCCUGANCCUGCUUCCNAUACNGGCAGACUANAGGUAUGCANGGGAGAACGGAAUUCCUGGUGUANCGGUGAAAUGCGCA